ensembl:lncRNA
AAGUGUCCAAUAGUGUCCAUCGGGUGCAUGCUGGUACCUGCAGAACUUUGGAAAGCAGUGUAAGAGUCGAGGUUUUGCUCUCUGGUGAGGAUAAGGGGCCUGACCACCAGGGUUUCAGCAAGUCCCACUGCUUCAGUACUCGCUCUGCCAGUCGUGAGCCUUGAGUCUUUCUGACGGAACGCUCACGGAAACUGUGGUCCAACAUGCCAUUGAGAAGGACGCUGACCUGAGAAACAACAGGCAUUCGUACAUUUAUAAACGCGCAUCGUCUUGUUCAAACGCAUACCGAAAGAGUAGCACGUCUUCCCGAGUGGGAAAAUUAAGCCAAAAUAUUAUUAAGAUGAGGGGAAGGGGGCAGGGCUUCCAGGGGUGUCAAUUAAUAUCGAAGAGAAGACUUUUUUGCUUCCUUUUGAGUAAUAAAUUAUGCAAAUGAGCUGUUAGACUAAAAACCUCCAUAUUCACACUUUCGAGUUUAUCCGUGACCUUUUCCAUUCAGGAUUUAGAAAUCAGGUUAUAUUGAACAAGAAAACAACAGCGCAACACUGAAUUUCUUCCUUUGUUCUCUUUCUCUUUUUUUUUUUUUAAGUCCUUGCAGGAGACCUUACCAUGCCAGGGCUCUGUGUGGCUGCGGUAAGCAGCAAAGGUACGGAGCGGUCCAGCUGCCGUAAAAGUUCUGCAUUGGUGGUGUUCUGGAAAAGGCUGUAGAAAUAUUCUCCGUGAGAGAAGCUGAGGAAGUGAGGAUUUAGACUGCCGGAUAGGGGCACGGACAGGGUGAUCGAGUUGAGCAACAGAGCCACCAAUUCCUCCGUCUGUGUAAUAAAAGAACAAGCAGGGUCAUUUCCUUACUGCGGGCGAUCUGCAUGGCUUUCGUGGGUGACGGUCUCAAAGUUACAAACAGAAAUUCUGCAAAAUCUGCUGUUGACAAGAAAGAAAAAAAAAGAAAAGAAAAAAAGAAACGACGUAUGUUGUACUUACCUGAUCACCCAGUGAGAAAGCCAGCUGCACAAGACCAUUAGCUAGUUUCCUGCUACUGACAUCCAUGGAGGGGAGGGACUUCCUGUUCUCUCCAGGUGCAAUGCCUUUGUAUACUGCCAUGAGAAGUCUGGAACCUAAAGAGCUACUGUAAGUCAAAUCCUGCACAAAAAAAAAACAACAACCCACAAUUACAUGGCAUUACAUUUACAGUAUUUCUCAGACGCUCUUAUCCAGAGCGACUUACAUUUAUCUAAUUUAUACAACUGAGCAGUUGAGGGUUAAGGGCCUCGCUCAAGGGUCGAACAGUGGGAGCUUAGGCAGUGCUGGGGCUUGAACUCCUGACCUUCUGAUCAGUAACCCAUAGCCUUUAACCGCUGACACACCACGGCCCCAUGUAAAUAAUAAAAACUGCCCUGAAAUCAAAUUGAGCUGAAUGCAGGAUACCUGUUCGUGUAGGACAGAGCUGAGAAUCCCACUCUGGUGAAGCUGUUUACAAGCUGAGAGUAAGAGUUCCAGCUUGGCAUGGCUGUCAUGAGUGUCCGGAUCAUACAGAUCUACCGCACACAACUCCUCCACACUGUUCGGGCAAACAUGGAACAGUAUUUACAGUGGAUACAACAAGUCUAUACACUCGUGUUAAAACGGCAGGGUUUCGUCAUAAAUCGUGUCAGAACGUUUCCCACCCUUAAUGUAAAAUGACAAAGGAUAAACAAAACAAAACAAAACUUACAAUACCAUAGAAGCAUAAGUGUGCACACCCCUAAACUAAUACUUUGUUCAAGUACCUUUUGAUUUUAUUUUGGGUAAGACUGCAUGGCACAUCUUGACCUGGGAAUUUUUCCCCCCACUCUUUCUUGGAGAAACAUUCUAGAGCUAUAAAAAAAAUUUAGAGGGCAAAUCUCCCGUGCAAAGCCCGCUUCAGGUCACUCCACAGAUUUUCAGUUGGAUUCAGGUCUGGGCUCUGGCGAGAUCAUUCAAAAACAUUGAUCUUCUUUAUGUUAAACCAUUCCUUUGUUGAUCUAGAUUCAUGCUUCGGGUCAGCGUCAUGUCGAAAAGGGGAAAUUCCGUUUCAUCUUCAGCUUACUAGCAGACACGUGACGAUGCACUAAAUCGACUGGAAUUUGUCCACCUCCACCUUAUUAAAAGCCCCAGUUCUGACUGAAGAAAAGCAGCCCUAAAGCAUGAUGCCACCACCACCAUGCUUCAACGUGAGUAUGGUGUUCUUUUGGUGAUGUGCGUUUUUUCUUUUGCACCAAACAUACUUUUUGAUAUUAUGGAUUAUUAUAACUUUUGGAAUCGGUCUCGUCUGACCAUAAGACAUUUUGCCACGAGGGGUUUUUUUUUUGUGUGUGAGAGAAAGGGUUUCCUUCUAGCCACCCUAUUCCAAAGUCCAGACAUGUGAAGAAUAUGAGAGAUUGUGGUCACAUGCAGAGAGUAAUCUGUACUUGUCAGAUGACUCUCCUGCAGCUCCUUUAAUGUUGCCGUGGGUCUCUUGGCAGCCUCCCUGGUAAGAUUUUGUCCUCUCCUUUUUAGUAAAUUUUGCAGGGACGUCCUGUUCUUGGUGAUGUCACUGUGGUGCUCUGUUUUCUACAUUUGUUGUCGGUUGCCUUCGUUGGUACAUUUAAUGUUAAGGAAAUACUUCAAUACCCCUCUCUCCUGAUCGAUUCCUUUCGACAGUGAGAUUCCCUGCAUGCUUCGUCAGCUCUUCGCAGACCAUGGCUUCAGCCUUCGGAUGAAACCAAGACGAUGUGAAGACAAGCCUACAGAAACAGCUGGUCUUUACUUGGGGUUGAUCAGAAUAAUUUCAUUGAUGACAGAUGUAUGAUAAUUACUUUUGAACGUGAGAUUGAAUGCCACGUCCCCAGUUAUAAAGGGGUGUGCACACUUAUGCAACCUUUUUAUUUUCCCCUUAAAUGUUUGAUUGUUUUACCCGUUGUGAUUUCAUAUUGAGAGCGGCGAAGUCCUGACAUGAUUUAUCUUAGUUUCAAUUUUUUCCAUCACCAAAACAUGCCAUUUUAACAGGGGUGUGCAGACUUUUUAUACCCACUGAAUACUGGAAUGAAUCGACAAGUUUAAACUGAUUAUUAUUAUUAUUAAUAUUAUUAAUAGUAGUAGUAGUAAUAUCAGACCAUUGGGCAGUUAUCUUCUUCCUAAUGCCAUUCUCCAGAUCAGUCCUGUAGGGUGUUGCGACUAGAGCCUUCAGCAAUGGUACACACACCUCCGGCAACCGAGUAAUCACCUCCAAAUCGGCCAUGUUGAAGCCAAUAGAAGAGGGUUCACAUACCACCAUGCUGACCAGCGUGAAGAAGGUGGCACUGAAAAAGUCCUCUUCCAGCAGCUGGAAUGAGAUUUUCAGACAAUGCAUGACAAGUUUUAUGUCCCUGUUUGGACCAAUAAAACGCAUCGUUGUGACAAGCAUCAGACCUUCCAGAGAUCCUUCUGGCAUUUAAGCAGCACCAUGGUGGAGAACUCCAGCAGGCGCACUAUGAUGGUGCACUUGCUGUAGUUGUAGAGCUCUGUCUCACGAGGGCUAAAGUGUGACCAAGUCGAGUCAGUCUCUUUGAAACAGGCCCUGGCAGCCUUCAGGUCAUGCAAUGCCAGUUCUGUCAGGAAGAAACGGAGGGCUGGCAGGAAGCUAGACUUCUCAGCAGAGUCUGGUUAAAAAAAAAAAGAAAAGAAAAGAAAAGAAAAAAAAAAAAGAGAGAUGGAGAUAAUCAUUUGUAGUGAAGUACUUAAUAAUAUAAGAACAAGUUUAACAGCAAGUUCUACCGUGUUGAUUGUUGUCAACGAUGAUAUUUUUUCUUUCAUUAAUAAUAAACAGACACACCACAAUAAUCUAAGACAAAUAAAGUUAUUUUGUUUUAUUUAAAAAAAAAAAAAAAAAACCUGUCAUACAAGUCCCGGUGAAUUGGCUGUUACUAUAGAAACCUAUUAGGAUGAGUGCGUUCAAAAAAAACAAACAAAUUCUGACCGAUUUGACAGCGCUGAAUUGAUCAUUUAAGUUUCUGAACUACUCAAACGUUCUGUGGUACUAUAACGUGCUUCGUUGACAUUGGCGAGUUUGGCUACCCAGAAUUCUGUGGGGCUGCAUGAGGCGGAGACUGGUGAAGGUGUUGUAGCAGUCAAGAACGGCCAGAAGAAGAUCCAUCCACUGCAGGGUGGCCCGGACACUGAAAGGGGCUUCCACUUCUCUCAAAGUAGGUUGGGAUAUCAAGCCUCCUCCUUCCAGAUGUGUAAUUAAAAACCCCUGACCCUCAUUUUUAACCUGCUCGUCCAGCCACUGUGCAGCAGUAGUAUUACCUGAGCAUGAAGGAAAAAGAAAUCAGAGUGGGUCUGAAAUCCCAUACAAUCGCUUAUCUCUUAAUCUACAAUUACAGCUAUAAUCC